UUAAUAAAACAGUUCAGCAGUCAUUGGGGCAGCAAGCUAGUUGUAGUCAGAAUAACACCACCAUCUGAGGAUGACCAAUUGAAUUUCCAGUUUAUCUUGGGCUGAAAAUUUUAAACUAUGUCGCGGUACAUGAACCAGAGUAACAGACGCAGAAGGCUGCAUCGUAGCAGGCGAUUAAAACAAAGGAAGAGAACUGCUAGAAGACAUCGAAGGAUGCAUAAGAGAGGUUUACGCCAGUCUCAUUACCGGAGAAGCUCCUUCUCAGCCUAGCCACCUUCAGCUCUUGAAAUAGGACAACUUCAGUCCCCAAAACCAACAUGUUGGAAGACCAGGACUGUUAUAUCUGAUCCACCAAGUUUCUGCAACCAUUCAUGCUGGACAAUAAACCAUUUGAGCAUCACUAGGACUGAUUUUCGUCUCCCUAUGAAACAUACUUGUUAGGAAGAGCUUUGAUCACAGUUUGAAAUAUGAUGAUGAAAUUUAAGGAUUUGGGGGUGCAUUAGAUCCAAACUUUUUUAGAGAGAAGUGAUUGUUUGCUUUUUUAGAACAUGUGGAAUCUCAUGGGCAGCAAGUUACUGAAUUCUCUGCUUUUCUUUAAAGAGAACCUUUAAAGCUAUAACAGUAGAAUUUCCAUCAAAAGAUACUGGAGUGGAAACUGCUGCAUUUCAGAAUUAUAAAAUGUGUGAUUAGGAGAGCGUUACUGAAAAUGGUACUUGCCGUGGUUCCAAUAGAUGAAACUCUUCAAAAGAA